rnacentral:rRNA from 1 species
AAUGAUUGUCCCCAGAGGAAGUGGCGACUAACUCUGUGCCAGCAGUCGCGGUAAUACAGAGGCCACGAGCAUUAGUCGGAAUCACUGGGCUUAAAGGGUGCGUAGGUGGCUUGCCAAGUGCUUUGUGAAAUCCCACGGCUCAACCGUGGAACAGCAGGGCAUACUGGCAGGCUUGAGGCAAGUAGGGGCUGACGGAACAGUAGGUGGAGCGGUGAAAUGCGUAGAUAUCUACUGGAACGCCGAUGGUGAAGACGGUCAGCUGGGCUUGUCCUGACACUGAGGCACGAAAGCGUGGGGAGCAAACAGGAUUAGAUACCCUGGUAGUCCACGCCGUAAACGAUGCGCACUAGACCGGUGCGGUUUUGACGCCGUAUCGGUCGUAGUAAAAACGAUAAGUGCGCCGCCUGGGGAGUACGGUCGCAAGAUU